rnacentral:lncRNA from 1 species
CCGUUGUAACCGCUCUUCAGCUGUUGGAAGGCGGUAAUCUUCGCGGAGCAAUCUUUGCUUCUGGACUUUAAAGCUUCUCGGUCCGUGGUCAGGGAGUGUAUUGAUGCUGAUUAGCGAUGUCUAUGUAGCAUUGUAUGUCUUAGAUUCAUAGUGUUAUCUGCUAGACAGGACUAUGUCGAAGUGCCGCACACUGAAUCGAGGCUCUCACCUCUCGGCACCCACUUCUCACUGACAUGCAGAUGAUGAGAAGUGGGUGCCGAGAGGUGAGAGCCCCUUCCCACUUGAAUAUGUUGUAAAAUGCUGCACGCGACAGCGCAGAAGGUAACGCUUUCGAUCACGGGUACGAAGAAGUUUUAAGUAAAACUCGAAGCAACGUUCAGUGACUGAAUGGCUCUUCAGUAAUUAAACACGGGCCCCACUAAUCAGUAAUUCUAUCCGGUAUGUUGGCCGAGAAAAAAAAAUCCGUCGGAUGGCAAAGUUGAGCUGCGAGGCUAUCGGAUUCUGUGACCAAUCUUUAGUUAAUACAUUCUAUUGAAGAAGCUGAGAUAACGGCUCCACUGGUCAAGUGAUUGGCUUGAAAGUACUUAAGGAUGCAUCUAUCAAUUGUGGUAAGUGAGUGAGGGACACGAGAUACUCAAUUGGUUCUCACCGAUAUUAGCUUAUUCGAAUUGAGAAGUACUGAUUCAUGUCAGACUUAGAUUAGAAUUAUGAACAAAUUCUUAUAUGUUGAAACAUGCAACAAGAAACCAAAUGUGUAAACGAAAGAGAUUUUGUGUACUAAGCAUACAUUCUUGUUUGAUAAUACUUCACAGUGAAAAGGGAGUAGGAUUUGCGUAUGUAUUUUACACACACGCAUGCACUCACACAUGGGCUGAUUUUAUUCGAUUUAGUAAAUUAUUGAGUCAGUAUUGAAAGAGAUGUUCAGUUUUGGCAUUAUGAUUAAGUUUUUGUAAUUUAGGAAGUUGGAUUAAUGCAAUUUGGUGGUAGUGUGUAUGUCGAAUACCUUUAAUUCAAAAAUGAUAUUUCAUUUUGCCUACCAAAUUUAC